GGGGGGGGCAUGGGUGCUACACAUGCAGUCGAACGAAAGUUUAUACUUUAGUGGCGGACGGGUGAGUAAUACGUGAGACUUUACCUUUAGGAAGGGAAUAACAAUUGGAAACGAUUGCUAAUGCCCUAUAUGCUUAGCAGUGAAACAGAUUUAUCUGCCUGAAGAUGAGCUCGCGCCUGAUUAGCUAGUUGGUAGAGUAAAAGCCUACCAAGGCAACGAUCAGUAGCUGGUUUGAGAGGACGAUCAGCCACACUGGGACUGAGACACGGCCCAGACUUCUACGGAAGGCAGCAGUGGGGAAUUUUCCGCAAUGAGCGAAAGCUUGACGGAGCAAUACCGCGUGAGGGAAGAAUGCCUGUGGGUUGUAAACCUCUUUUUUUAGGGAAGAAAAUAUGACGGUACCUAAAGAAUAAGCAUCGGCUAACUCCGUGCCAGCAGCCGCGGUAAUACGGGGGAUGCAAGCGUUAUCCGGAAUUACUGGGCGUAAAGCGUCUGCAGGUGGCUUAAAAAGUCUGCUGUUAAAUAUUAGAGCUCAACUCUGAGUAAGCAGUGGAAACUGUUAGGCUAGAGUAUGGUAUGGGUAAAGGGAACUCCCAGUGUAGCGGUGAAAUGCGUAGAUAUUGGGAAGAACACCAGUAGCGAAAGCGCUUUACUAGACCAUUACUGACACUCAGAGACGAAAGCUAGGGGAGCAAAUGGGAUUAGAUACCCCAGUAGUCCUAGCCGUAAACGAUGGAUACUAGAUGUUGCGUGUAUCGACCCAUGCAGUAUCGUAGCUAACGCGUUAAGUAUCCCGCCUGGGAAGUAUGCUCGCAAGAGUGAAACUCAAAUGAAUUGACG
rnacentral:rRNA from 1 species